GCCAAUGGUUGACAGAGCUUAAAUGCGAGACCUUUCUAACAAACUUCGAAUAUUUUAUCCCCUUCUCCUCUGAUAACACAUCAAUGAAUGCUAAAACCUGAUCAAAAGAAGCUCUCAGAUCGCCGACCGUGUGGUUCUGGCUUUAUGGGUUCGCCUGUGAAAGGAUCAUAUUUGUAAGGUUCGCCUGUGAAAGGAUCAAACUUCAUUUGUCGGCGCUCGACAGGAUGUUCCUUGGGGCUCAGAUGCGAGCUGGAUCCUAUACCAGGUC
rnacentral:lncRNA from 1 species